AAUGAAGUUGAUUCGUUACUUCAAAUCAAAGCGCUACAUUAUCAUUUCUGUUGCAAAGAACUUACUAUUUUUUUGCAUACUUCUGUUGCACUACUGAAGGAUGUUUCAUGCCUUUACCAUGGCAAGAUUAGCAGGUCAUGGAAGAGAAGUCUUGAUUGUCAACGCUCAAGAGUGACCUGGAGCAGAGACAGUGGUGCUGUUCUUGAGAAGGCUUCCCGGGACAUAGCAGUGCACAGCACACCCAAUGAGACACAGUACUGGGAUGGAAAUUCCAGUCUGGGGAGGGUGUGAGUCAUGAGUUGAGGCUGCCUGAGAAGCUAUUUAGGGCAUCUUUUUUUAUAAUGUUUUUAACUGAUCUUGUGUUGCUUUUUUAAUUUAUACUGACAUCUACUUAGCUUGUCAUUUUUUUGUAUAUUACGUAUUUUUAUUUCCAAAUUUGUAAAAAAAAAUAUUUUAUUUUUUAAUUUAUAUUUAUGCAAGAAAAAGGAAGUCAUUGUAAUUGUGGUUUGACGUCUUUGGCAACAAAUUUUAUUCGCUACUCAGUGGCCACAGUUUUGGUUAAGACACCAUUUCAUUAAUCAUAUCUGUAAACCCAAUAGGGUGCUGAAGGUAACUUCCUGGGAGAGGACCUUUAUGGUCCAAAUUUUCAGAAAGGGAGGCUGGAGGUAAGAAAAUACACAGCUGCCCUUGAAGUCAAUGGAAAUCUGUCCGUUGUAAAUGGUUAUUUGGCCAAGCUAACUGGUGAUUUGCAUAGGCAAAUACCUGAUUUGCAGAGGUAGCUGUAUUCAUUGCAUGCACAAAUGUAGGCAUGUAAUUGAGCAUACUAUCCUGCAAGUGGAUCUACCUACUUUUCUGAAAAUGUUACCCUAGAAAUCUAACUUACGAGUGUAGGGGAGAAAAGUAAUUUCUUUCUUCUGUGAAAUCUGUCUAUGCAACUGUACUGAAUUAGAAGAUUUGUCCAACAGGAAAGUCAGGAAUGGUUUCCGGAGGCACGGAUACAUUAUUGGUUUGCUCUAAAGUAAAGCAAAAUAAUGGAACAUUGCAAUCUAUGUGUCUGCCACUCCUGAUCUAA
rnacentral:lncRNA from 1 species